UACUUCUGCUGAAUCUCAUGAAGCUACUUUGGGUGUAUGUUCAUGAGGAAACCACACCCCCAAGAACUCAACUAAAGGAAUGAGAAAAAGACAAGGAAACCAGAAAGAAUGUGCUUCUCCAAAAUGAGGGAGUAAACCAAAAAAGAGAAAGACAUGGAAUCCAGUACACAAGAACCUCCCUUAGGAGAGGAAGACAUGAAGUACAGUAGACAAGACAUCCUUCAAAAACGGAAGACAUGGAAUCCAGUAGACAAGACCAGACCUCUAUCACGAGGGAAGACAGAGCCCUGUAUUUCCUUGGGAAACUACCCCACCCCACUUUUAGUACUCAUUGUUUGGGUGCACCUGACCACGCCCCAAGUUCAAGAAAUGAUCACAUGCUAUUGGCUUGCACUGAUCAACAUAAGUACCACCAUAUGUAGCAAUAAGUCUGGCUACGGUGAUUGGCGCAAGGAUGAAAGAAGGAAUCAAGUUAACCCAAACAGCAUAUAUCCCAGAACCUUUGGGAGAGUUUAUAGCAAAAGAAGUGUUUUCCAUCUUGGGACUGUGAAGACAUAAGCCUGAAACUCCUGGGAACAGAUGGGGCACACCUGACCCAAUGAACAGAACAAGGAGAUGGAGCAAGACAGCUUCCUAAAACCUAUUCCGAGUAUCAGAAUUCAGCCAUGCUAGAUGUUACAUCUACUCAUGGAUUUUAAAUUUACAAGAGGUAAUAAUUCCCACUCC